UACGUAGGGUGCGAGCGUUAAUCGGAAUUACUGGGCGUAAAGCGCACGUAGGCGGCUUUGUAAGUUAGAGGUGAAAGCCUGGUGCUCAACACCAGAACUGCCUUUAAGACUGCAUCGCUUGAAUCAUGGAGAGGCGGGUGGAAUUCCGAGUGUAGAGGUGAAAUUCGUAGAUAUUCGGAAGAACACCAGUGGCGAAGGCGGCCCGCUGGACAUGUAUUGACGCUGAGGUGCGAAAGCGUGGGGAGCAAACAGG
rnacentral:rRNA from 1 species